UACGUAGGGGGCAAGCGUUGUCCGGAAUCAUUGGGCGUAAAGCGCGCGUAGGCGGCCCGGUAAGUCCGUUGUGAAAGUCAAAGGCUCAACCUUUGAACGCCGAUGGAUACUGCCGGGCUAGAGUCCGGAAGAGGCGAGUGGAAUUCCUGGUGUAGCGGUGGAAUGCGUAGAUAUCAGGAGGAACACCGGUGGCGAAGGCGCACAUCUGGCCCGAUACUGACGCUGAGGCGCGAAAGCUAGGGGAGCAAACGGG
rnacentral:rRNA from 1 species